AACGAACGCUGGCGGCAUGCCUAACACAUGCAAGUCGAACGAGACCUUCGGGUCUAGUGGCGCACGGGUGCGUAACGCGUGGGAAUCUGCCCUUGGGUUCGGAAUAACAGUUGGAAACGACUGCUAAUACCGGAUGAUGACGUAAGUCCAAAGAUUUAUCGCCCAGGGAUGAGCCCGCGUAGGAUUAGCUAGUUGGUGGGGUAAAGGCCUACCAAGGCGACGAUCCUUAGCUGGUCUGAGAGGAUGAUCAGCCACACUGGGACUGAGACACGGCCCAGACUCCUACGGGAGGCAGCAGUGGGGAGUAUUGGACAAUGAGCGAAAGCCUGAUCCAGCAAUGCCGCGUGAGUGAUGAAGGCCUUAGGGUUGUAAAGCUCUUUUACCCGGGAUGAUAAUGACAGUACCGGGAGAAUAAGCCCCGGCUAACUCCGUG
rnacentral:rRNA from 1 species